GAAGAGAUAGCUCAGUUGGUUACAGCGUGGUGCUAAUAACACCAAGGUCACAGGUUCAAUCCCUGCUCACUGCA
rnacentral:tRNA from 1 species